AGUGAACGCUGGCGGUAGGCCUAACACAUGCAAGUCGAACGGCAGCACAGUAAGAGCUUGCUCUUACGGGUGGCGAGUGGCGGACGGGUGAGGAAUACAUCGGAAUCUACUUUUUCGUGGGGGAUAACGUAGGGAAACUUACGCUAAUACCGCAUACGCCCUACGGGUGAAAGCAGUGGAUCUUCGGACCUUGCGCGAUUGAAUGAGCCGCUGUGGGAUUAGCUAGUUGGCGGGGUAAAGGCCCACCAAGGCGACGAUCCGUAGCUGGUCUGAGAGGAUGAUCAGCCACACUGGAACUGAGACACGGUCCAGACUCCUACGGGAGGCAGCAGUGGGGAAUAUUAGACAAUGGGCGCAAGCCUGGUCCAGCCAUACCGCGUGGGUGAAGAAGGCCUUCGGGUUGUAAAGCCCUUUUGUUGGGAAAGAAAAGCAGCAGGUUGAUACCCCGCUGUUCUGACGGUACCCAAAGAAUAAGCACCGGCUAACUUCGUG
rnacentral:rRNA from 1 species